rnacentral:rRNA from 1 species
CCUACGGGAGGCUGCAGUAGGGAAUAUUGCUCAAUGGGGGAAACCCUGAAGCAGCAAAGCAGCGUGGAGGAUGAAGGUUUUAGGAUUGUAAACUCCUUUUGUUAGAGAAGAUUAUGACGGUAUCUAACGAAUAAGCACCGGCUAACUCCGUGCCAGCAGCCGCGGUAAUACGGAGGGUGCAAGCGUUACUCGGAAUCACUGGGCGUAAAGGGGGCGUAGGCGGGGUAAUAAGUCAGAUGUGAAAUCCUGUGGCUUAACCAUAGAAUUGCAAUUGAAACUGUAAGUCUUGAGUGCGGGAGAGGUAAGUGGAAUUCGUGGUGUAGCGGUGAAAUGCGUAGAGAUCAAGAAGAAUACUGAUUGCGAAGGCGACUUACUAAAACAUUACUGACACUGAUGCACGAAAGCGUGGGUAGCAAACAGGAUUAGAUACCCUUGUAGUC